rnacentral:rRNA from 1 species
UACGUAGGUCCCGAGCGUUGUCCGGAUUUAUUGGGCGUAAAGCGAGCGCAGGUGGUUUAUUAAGUCUAGUGUAAAAGGCAGUGGCUCAACCAUUGUAUGCAUUGGAAACUGGUAGACUUGAGUGCAGGAGAGGAGAGUGGAAUUCCAAGUGUAGCGGUGAAAUGCGUAGAUAUAUGGAGGAACACCGGUGGCGAAAGCGGCUCUCUGGCCUGUAACUGACACUGAGGCUCGAAAGCGUGGGGAGCAAACAGG